GAAGAUUUGGAAAGGGGUUCAUCUGUGACCAGUGUCUCACUUUCCUCUGAUUUGCCCAAAGCUUUUCAGCUGCAGAUGAGGUGUGACCUGGACAUGUGGAUUCCUUUCACUGGUUUUGUGUUGGAUGUGAGAGUCUAGUCUGCUUCAAGCUGCACCAGUGGAGAAACUACGUGCCUGGAGCUCGGCCUGGGGUGUGGAGAUGAUGCUGAUGAGUGUGGCUCGGGGCACUCACUAGGCAAACCUGGUGAAUGAGCUUUCCAUCCAGAGGUCUUGCCACAUAGCCAGAGAUCUGAAGAGUUCUGAGGAAACUUCAGCUGUGUAACUGAAAGCCCCACCAAGAGAUGGCAUUUCCCUUGCAUUCCUGAUAUGCUCCCACAGGCCCUGAGGAUUGAAUCAGUGUCGACUGGUACCACGAAGGCAUAGGAGGCUUUUCUUCCUCCUCCUCCUCCUCCUCCUCUUCUUUCACCUGAUUUCUCAGCUUGACAGCAUUCUGAUUGCAAGGUAGCGUUCUGAAACAAAACCGAAUCAAGUCACUCUAUGGAAAGAUCCGGAGUUAGUCUUUCUGCUGUCCCUGCUCCAGUGCUCCCAAGGUGCUGCAGUGGCUCCUCAUCAGACCAGUUCUGUGUUGUUCCUGCAAACAACACUGCGAACCUGCUCCUUUAGCCAGCCUACUGGAUGGGGAAGCUACUUAGCAUCUUUAAUGAAUUGUUUUGCUGCCUAAAUCACACAGAGUCCACUUCUGUUGCUUGUAUCGAAGAGCUACACUAAUAGCUGUCUAUAACUCUUUUAAAGCUUUGUCUUACUUCUGAGACUACC